GUCGGCUUGUCACAAAAAAUGGCGUUACAUACUUUGAUCAGGACUGCCGUAAACCCACGUGCCCAAGCCCGCAACGACUAGUCUGUCCGAAUCGUGCAGACGCGUGUAGCUGCUACUGUCAGGAUGUCCCUUGUUACAUGCCACAAUGCGGCAGUGAUUGCCAAGUCAGCUGCCUGAGAAGGACUGGCUGGUGUCAAUGCAAAUGCGUACCCAGAAAUCAGCGAUGUGCCGACACCUGGUCUAGUACAUGCCUGGCUGUGUGCGUCGGGUGUAAUCCUUGCAAGUGCAA
rnacentral:lncRNA from 1 species